CGUCUCUCUCUCCAACAGCUCCUGGCAACCACUAAUCUACUUUCUGUCUCUAUAUUUGCCUAUUCUAGACAUUUCACCAAUGUGAUCAUGGAAUACGUGGUAUUUUGAGACUGGCUUUUUUCACUAAGCAUAAUGUUUGCAAGGUUCAUCCAUGUCAUAGCAUGUAUUAUCAGCACUUCAUUCCCUUUCAAGGCUGAGCAAUGUUCCAUUGUAUGGAUAUAAGGCCGGAAUGCCAUGGUG
rnacentral:lncRNA from 1 species